rnacentral:rRNA from 1 species
UACGUAGGGUGCAAGCGUUGUCCGGAAUUAUUGGGCGUAAAGAGCUCGUAGGCGGCUCAGUAAGUCAGGUGUGAAAACUCCAGGCUCAACCUGGAGACGCCACUUGAUACUGCUGUGGCUAGAGUCCGGUAGGGGAGCAUGGAAUUCCUGGUGUAGCGGUGAAAUGCGCAGAUAUCAGGAGGAACACCAGUGGCGAAGGCGGUGCUCUGGGCCGGAACUGACGCUGAGGAGCGAAAGCGUGGGGAGCAAACAGG